UGACCUGUCGAUGUAU
rnacentral:rRNA from 1 species